rnacentral:tRNA from 1 species
GCCACCAUAGCUCAGAGGAAGAGCAACGCACUCGUAAUGCGUAGGUCCUCGGUUCGACUCCGAGUGGUGGCU